UCUAAGUUGCUAAGUUUAUUGCUAGCAAUAAGAUGCCUCUUGGCUGGGCACACAAGAAGGACCCUGAGUAGCUUCCUGUCACAACUUUUACACAAAGGAGCUGCUCAAAAUGGAGGAACAUCCAUAAAUCAUCAGGUAUUUUGUGACAAAAUACAUUAUUCUAUUUCCUUAUCCUUUUUCCGCUAUCUUCAACCACCACCACCAG
rnacentral:lncRNA from 1 species